rfam:Loxodonta africana unplaced genomic scaffold scaffold_150, whole genome shotgun sequence.
CCCUGGGUGGUGCAAAAGGUUAACACGCUUGGCUGCUUACCAAAAGGUUGAUGGUUUGAGUCCAUCCAGAGGCA